GAUUAGUGGCGAACGGUGAGUAACACGUGAGUAACCUGCCCUUAACUCUGGGAUAAGCCUUGGAAACGGGGUCUAAUACUGGAUAUUGACUUUACCUCGCAUGGGGUUUGGUUGAAAGAUUUAUUGGUUUUGGAUGGACUCGCGGCCUAUCAGCUUGUUGGUGAGGUAAUGGCUCACCAAGGCGACGACGGGUAGCCGGCCUGAGAGGGUGACCGGCCACACUGGGACUGAGACACGGCCAAGACUCCUACGGGAGGCAGCAGUGGGGAAUAUUGCACAAUGGGCGAAAGCCUGAUGCAGCGACGCCGCGUGAGGGAUGACGGCCUUCGGGUUGUAAACCUCUUUCAGUAGGGAACAAGGCCAGCAUUUUUGUUGGUUGAGGGUACUUGCAGAAGAAGCGCCGGCUAACUACGUGCCAGCAGCCGCGGUAAUACGUAGGGCGCAAGCGUUAUCCGGAAUUAUUGGGCGUAAAGAGCUCGUAGGCGGUUUGUCGCGUCUGCCGUGAAAGUCCGGGGCUCAACUCCGGAUCUGCGGUGGGUACGGGCAGACUAGAGUGAUGUAGGGGAGACUGGAAUUCCUGGUGUAGCGGUGAAAUGCGCAGAUAUCAGGAGGAACACCGAUGGCGAAGGCAGGUCUCUGGGCAUUAACUGACGCUGAGGAGCGAAAGCAUGGGGAGCGAACAGGAUUAGAUACCCUGGUAGUCCAUGCCGUAAACGUUGGGCACUAGUGUGGGGGACAUUCCACGUUUUCCGCGCCGUAGCUAACGCAUUAAGUGCCCCGCCUGGGGAGUACGGCCGCAAAGGCUAAAAACUCAAAGCAAAUUUGACGGGGGGCCCCCGCCACAAGCGGCGGAGCAUCGGAUUAAUGUCGAUGGCAACCGCCGAAGAACGCUUACCAAGGCUUGGACAUGAACUGGAAAUACGCUGGAAACAGGUGCCCCGCUUGCGUUGGGUUUACAGGUGGUGCAUGGUUUGUCGUCAGCUCGUGUCGUGAGAUGUUGGGUUAAGUCCCGCAACGAGCGCAACCCUCGUUCUAUGUUGCCAGCACGUGAUGGUGGGGACUCAUAGGAGACUGCCGGGGUCAACUCGGAGGAAGGUGAGGACGACGUCAAAUCAUCAUGCCCCUUAUGUCUUGGGCUUCACGCAUGCUACAAUGGCCGGUACAAUGGGUUGCGAUACUGUGAGGUGGAGCUAAUCCCAAAAAGCCGGUCUCAGUUCGGAUUGGGGUCUGCAACUCGACCCCAUGAAGUCGGAGUCGCUAGUAAUCGCAGAUCAGCAACGCUGCGGUGAAUACGUUCCCGGGCCUUGUACACACCGCCCGUCAAGUCACGAGUUGGUAACACCCGAAGCCGGUGGCACUAACCCCCUUGUGGGGAGGAGACUGUCGA
rnacentral:rRNA from 1 species